GCGUCCUUAGUGUAAGGGAUAGCACGCGAGAUUUCGGUCCUUGCAAUCAGAGUUCGAGUCUCUGGGGACGCA
rfam:Lactobacillus fabifermentans T30PCM01 genomic scaffold scaffold21, whole genome shotgun sequence.